rnacentral:misc_RNA from 1 species
AUAUUUAAUUUCAUUCAGCAAAUAAUCCAAUUCAGUUUAGUUCAAUUUCUCUUUUCUUCAUUUCUUCAUACAAAAUGUCUUCAUUCAACACAUAAAAAAAUGUUGAGCAGAAUAACCAACUCCACAGUAAAAUGAUUCUCAUAUUUAAUAAAGAGACACAAUAGAACCACUGGGUAUUGAAGUACUCUGUUUUAGUGAGAAUCCCUCUUUGGUCUUUUGAAGAUCAUUGGUGCAUUUAGUCCUCCUUCAGCAAGUCAUAGAAAACCUGUGGCUUUCUAUAAUCUGAGAUGCAUAAAGCCUAAAACCAGAAAUUCUCAAUUUAUCAGCUAUUAUGUAUAAAUAACCAGUGUAGUAAAGUCAUGAGUCCUCGAGAUAUUUAAGAUUCUUUGUGCAGAAAAUGUUAGCUCAGAUUGAUAUUCUGUCACAAAGAGAUUAUGCAGAUAAUCUUGUGUCGAAAGUAAAAUAAUACAACAAAAAUUAGUUAGGAUCAACUUGAUGGAUAUCUUUUGUCAUUUAUCUCUGUGUGAAAUCAAUUUCGCAUCAAUAUUCAAAAAUUAUAAAUCUUUUUAUAAUACUUCUCCCCACGUCAUUUUAAGUCCUACCCUUUUAUUUUUCACUUAUUUCACCACUAACAUAUCACACAUUCACACUAGGGGUAUUCGAUGCUCUAUGUUGGACAUGACCAAAACAUUUUAAUCAACCAUUUCUCAUUUUGUCUCCAAUGUGAGUUAUAUGCUCUCUCCAGCAGAUGUUAUCAUUCUUAAUCUUAUUCGUUAUCAUGUUAUCAGACAUUCAUUUUAACAUUCGCAUUUCUACAAACUCAACUUGUGGGUAUGUUUGUACCUUGAAUCCUCAAUAUUUGCUCCCAUACAACACUAUACAGAUUACGUUAUGUUGAAAGAACAAUGAUAAGCGUGAAAAUUUAUAUAUUUUCUGUCUCAUACUCGAGAGAAAGUCUAGGCUUAAAACCCAUAAUCACUACUUUUAGCUACUUCCAGGUGUGCCAACACAUAUAACUAGAUGUGAAUAUCUACAAAUUAAGUUUACCAACAAUUCAAUCUAAAUCACAUGAGAAAAUUAACAGAAAGAAAGAGGAGUAUUACAAAACUUAAAAUCUCAAAAGCCUUGUAAUCUACCUGCAUUGCAAAUGCUAUGUGGAUUAGAGUAGGUUCAGACCAAGGUUUUCCUAUAAACUGCAGACCAAUAGGCAAACCCUUUUCGUCAUAUCCGACAGGAAUAGUAACUGCUGGCAAUCCCAGAAAGUUUCCAGCUAUCUGAUAUCGAACUAGUGCAGCUCCAUUGAUGUAGUCGAGUUCACCGGUCUCCAUAGCAUCUUUGAAAAUUGGGUAUGCAGUUACGCCAAUGGUUGGUGUAACAAUGACAUCUGCCUUGGCAAAUAUUUUCUUGUGAAACUCCAUUACGCGGUUCCUGAGUUUCUGAGCCUUCACAUACUCUUUUGCAUUGAAAGCACCAUACACAGAAAGUGCUACCCUUGCAUCCCAUCCUAACUCAGCAAAAUUCCUUUUUCAAGAGUAUAUAUUAUCAGCAACCGGAUUUGUUACAAUCCAUGAUAAAAAUGAAGGAUGUUAAUGCAACCAAUUGCUAAACAUAAACACAUACAGCUUUUCUAGAUAGGAACUAAGUGAAGUGGUACACUCAGUUCCAAUUGUUACAUAAUGUGCAAGGCGCAUUGCUUCUAUCUCUGGUAUAGUAACCUCAACAGUCUAACACAUAAGAAUAUCAAGUUUAGCACGUUAGUUAGCAAUGAAAAACAGUAAAAAUUAAUCAAACGUAAAAUGAAUCAUUUUUUUAUUUACACAAACAUCCCAUAUACUACCUAUUUAGGGAAAUUUUCAGUAUUACAAUACUAUUUCUUAUACCUUCCAACCACAUUUCUCAUAGAGUUGGUCCAGUGCAUGGGAACAACAAGCUCUAAUAUCGUCGCUGCAAUCAUUAAACCACUCUCCAUAUCUUGCCAGUCUAACGUUUGAAAUUGGACUAGAAGACCUCAGCAGUGGAAAAUAUACUUUUGGCGGCUGUGUGUUGGAUGAUUCAUUCAAUGGAAAUUGGCCACUAAUAGCUGCAUAAAUGAUAAAUGCAUCCUCUAUGGUGCCUGCUAAUACUCCAACCAUCCCAACCGUCCAGUUCAGAGGAAGAACACCAGCAUGAGGUACACGCCCAAAAGUUGGUUUGAAACCCACAACACCACAAAGAGCUGCUGGCAUUCUGACAGAGCCUCCCCCAUCAACACCAAGGGAAACGGGGCAGAGUCCUGCAGCUACCACUGCAGCAGAUCCACUAGAAGAACCUCCAGAAAUCUUGCCUGCAUCAUAUGGAUUUCUAGUAGCCCCAUAAUGAGGAUUUAUUCCACUUGUUCCAGCUCCAAGCUCAUGCAUGUUAGUUUUUCCAAUAAGCAUAGCACCACAUGAUCUGAGGCACUUAACACAGUACGCAUCUUCUUUACAAGGUCUAAAUUUGUGCAACCACUUCGUACCUCCUGUGGUGGGAUAUGGAUUACAGUCUAUUUCAUCCUUGACGGCAAUUGGGACACCAUCUAGAGCUGAGAUUGGCUUCCCUGUUUGAUACCUUUGAGUUGAUUCAGUGGCCUGCCUAAAAAUAUCUUCAACGUUGUAAUUAAUAAAGAAUGCCAUGUCCAUUGGAGGAGUGGAAGAUUGGCGAAUUGCAGCUAUUAAUCGUUCAGCCACCGCAUAGGGAGUUAUUUGUCCAGAAUUAUAGGCUCUAGAAUAAUCCAUUAUUGUCCAACGACGGAAAGAAUAGUUUAAACCGUUGAGUAGAUUUGGCAGACAUUCAAUCGCCUGUUGAACCCGGUGAGGUGGAGAUAAAUCAGCAUCUAUUAGUUUCACUUCUGGCUCGUUGAGCUCUUCAAACGGAUGCAACGGUACAUAAAGAGGCGAUUCCUCCAGCUCUGCAUUCGAAACAAGCUUGUGAACCAGAUUGUUUCUCGUCAAAAUGUAAAGGAGUGCAGGUCCAAAUAUCCUCGACUCCAGAAACCAGGAAAAAAUUUUGACCAGAAAUCCAGCCAUUCUAGGAGCUUUCACAUUCGCACGCAGAUAGAAUUCCCGGCUAUCAGGACCAAGAUCAACCUUCUCCACAGGCUCGUAAACUACACCCUUCGCCUUCAACAGCCCCAUGCCCGGGUGGUUCAAUUGUUUAAAUCGAGGGAAGAGAUGGUGAUGAGUGAUGAGAAGGAUACGUUUAUAUAUAGAAAGAACAGAGGAAGAGAAAUUAUUAAAAAGUGAAAAACAGAGGAAGAGAAAUUAUUAAAAAGUGAAA